GGGGAAUAUUGCACAAUGGGCGAAAGCCUGAUGCAGCAACGCCGCGUGAGUGAUGAAUGUCUUCGGAUUGUAAAGCUCUGUCUUUGGGGACGAUAAUGACGGUACCCAAGGAGGAAGCCACGGCUAACUACGUGCCAGCAGCCGCGGUAAUACGUAGGUGGCGAGCGUUGUCCGGAUUUACUGGGCGUAAAGGAUGCGUAGGCGGAUGUUUAAGUGAGAUGUGAAAUUCCCGAGCUUAACUUGGGAGCUGCAUUUCAAACUGGAUAUCUAGAGUGCAGGAGAGGAGAAUGGAAUUCCUAGUGUAGCGGUGAAAUGCGUAGAGAUUAGGAAGAACACCAGUGGCGAAGGCGAUUCUCUGGACUGUAACUGACGCUGAGGCAUGAAAGCGUGGGUAGCAAAC
rnacentral:rRNA from 1 species